UACGGGGGGGGUAAGCGUUGUUCGGAAUUACUGGGCGUAAAGGGCUCGUAGGCGGCCAACUAAGUCGGACGUGAAAUCCCUCAGCUUAACUGGGGAACUGCGUCCGAUACUGGAUGGCUUGAAUUCGGGAGAGGGAUGCAGAAUUCCAGGUGUAGCGGUGAAAUGCGUAGAUAUCUGGAGGAAUACCGGUGGCGAAGGCGGCAUCCUGGACCGGCAUUGACGCUGAGGAGCGAAAGCCAGGGGAGCAAACGGG
rnacentral:rRNA from 1 species